ACUAUUAGCUUUAAUUAUAUUCACAUAUUUCUUCCCUCUCUAUGUGUACACGGCCUUGUUUGUGUGGAUGUCAAGGGACAGCGACUGGUAAAUGGGUCUUCUCCUUACACUGUAUGGGUCCAUGGGAUGGAACUCAGGUUGUCAGGAUUAGUGGAAGUAACAAAUGGCAAAAUCUUCCAGAAUCUACAGUGCAGUGCAAUCCACGGCAGCUGCUCAGAAGAUCUUUGAGAGGAAGAGAGCUGAUGCUUGACAAAGAGGCUGUUAGCACCAGACACACAAUUGAAGUAGCCAUUCUGUUGAAGAAUGGCCUUCAGGACCCACAUCAAGGAACAGAUGAAUGUGCUCUUUUCUCAGAAGGAAUCAAAACCACAACUUGGAUGUUUGAACUCAAGAAAGCCAGGGUUUGAUGCAGCUCUCCCUGUAUACCAUCAAGGUGUGCGAUGCUGAGUUCAGUCUCUGCUACAAGCCAUUCUGCAAUAGUGCCAGAUCCUAGGGGAGGAUUGUGGGCAGAA